CCAAUCUCGUCACCUACGAAAAUUUUCAUGCAUAGACUGCAGGUCUAAAUAUCAUGUUUCCUAAUUUGGCUAAUGCAAUAAGGAAACCACACACACAUCACAUGUGAGAAUCUUGAGAACUGUUUUAGACUAUGGUCUUCUUUGUAUAUACAUUACAAACUCCUGCCUUGGAACGACAAAUGUGUAGCCUUUGACCAUUGUUUACAAUACAAGCUUGAACAUCAAAUUUGGAAUCCUUUGUUUAAAAAAAAAAAAAAAAUCGACAUUGUUGUUGCCUUGUUGGUGUUGUCAUUAUUAUUAUUAUUUUAUUAAUUUUGUUGUAAAAGAAGUUUAUUAGAGUUUUGUUGUUGGAGUCACAAGAUUUGAUAGACCUCUCUUAGGGUAGGACCAUCGACUCCAACGUCCCAAUGCCAGCGUUUCUAUAAUCAUUAAUAAGUUCAUACACGUAUAGAUUUUUUGAAUGAGUAUCAUCUUGUCUUGUUACUUUCUCUACAUUGUAAACUUUUACAUUUUAAAUUCCGAAUGAUGUUUUAAUAAUUGAAGCAGUUUAAAAUAUACACUGUAGUACAAAAAUAGUUAGUAGAUUGAAAUCUUUGUUUCAA
rnacentral:lncRNA from 1 species